GGAUUGUGGCUCAGUGGUAGAGUACUGGCCUAGCAUGCAUGAGACACUGGGUUUGAUCCCUAGCACCA
rnacentral:tRNA from 1 species